CUACGGUUAUCUUUUCUUGAUUCCUCUGCCCCCUGGCCGGAUCACACCAAAAAAAUACCAUUCAAAACAGAUAGUCCGCCUUGCUUCGAGCCUGCCUUCCUGGCAGGCUUGUCUUGGUUUGUGGAGCGAUGGAAAAAUAGCUUCCAAAAAACAUGAAGGCUUUUUGGAAGG
rnacentral:rRNA from 1 species